AACGCACCUUGCGCUCCUUGGUAUUCCGAGGAGCAUGCCUGUUUGAGUGUCAUUAAAUUCUCAACCUUAUCAGUUUUCACAAAUUGGUAAUGGCUUGGACUUGGGGGUUUUUUGCUGGCUUCGUCAAGAGGUCUGCUCCCCUUAAAUGUAUUAGCCGGUACCCGUGUGGAGUCGUCUAUUGGUGUGAUAAUUAUCUACGCCGUGGGCCUUCACUUUAAAUGGAUUGUACUGCUUCUAACCGUCCAUUAAGUCGGACAAAUAAUGACAAUUUGACCUCAAAUCAGGUAGGACUACCCGCUGAACUUAA
rnacentral:misc_RNA from 1 species